AUUGGACGACUGAGCGAAUUUCCUGCGAGGAACGAGACUUCGGUUCCUCAUGUUCUCAGCUUGUUUUGUGAUUUGGCCGCAUUAAGCACUCACAGUUGAUGGUUAUUGUUAUUGCAUAAUGCAUAUUAUCUGUCAUAUAACACUUCUCUUCUGUAUAUUACCUGUAACAUUGUGCCUUUCUUCAACUGCAGUGCUAGAAGCAUUGAGCCCGUAAGAGCCACCGCCACACAGGCGCCCCCUGCCACCCCUUCAUCUUCUAGCAGGGAGAAGACAAAGGUCGGCAUCAAUGGUUUUGGGCGGAUUGGGAGGUUAGUUUUGCGUAUUGCAAUUGAUAGAGAUGAUAUUGAAGUUGUGGCUGUCAAUGAUCCGUUUAUCGAUGCUAAAUACAUGGUAAGAAGUCAGCACGGAGUUAUUCUUUUUUAGACCGCACAACAUCUGCUGGAUGCUUUGAAAUGCCAGAUAUCCACAUUGUGCAACUUUUGUUAGAUAAUACGUGAUCUCACCAUUGUUUUUUAUUUACAGUUGUUUGAUUCUUCAUGAAAUGAUAUCCAUAUCGAACAAGCAGUGAUCAGUUUUCCAGUUCGUCCAUAUGAUUUUUUGAAUGAGCUAUUACAUGAGAAUGUGAUGAUCUUCAAUGAAGUUCUGAAUAACUAUUUACAAUGCCGCCAUAUGUUUCCUCUAGAGAUAUUUGUUGAAACAGGACGAACCGACACACGCAACUAUUAUGCAUCAUUGUAAUUUUAUAUGCCUGCUUUAAUGAAGAGAUGCUUUGUUUGAUCUCAUCUAACUUGUAUAUAUAUGAAGCUUGAGCUGAGCAUCCAUCUUUUGAUCUUCAUUACAUGCUGGAACUUGAAAAUAUUAUAUCCAUAUUGAGAUAUUCUAAUACACCUGAAUAGAUGUAAUUGUUAUUCUUCUCAAACUCAAAUGCUAAGUUCUAUUUUGGGGCUGCAACUCUGGAGCGGGUUCAUGGAUUCCAAUUGGGUGAUAGCACAAAUGAAUGGAAGAAAAAGAAAUGGGAUGAUUUCCAGCAAAGAUUAUCAAAGCUCCUGUGUUUUACAAGAGCCUUGGACCUUAAUUAUUGAUGAUGCGUUAGCGGCUUCGUUUGUCGAGCCACAUAUUUGAUAGAAGAUGACAUCCAACUACUCAUUGAAGACUAUGAGAGGAGUUGGGAGCAGAAUGAGGAGCUUGGCUUGAAUGACAUGGACACUUCCUCUGCAGACAUUGCUUAUAAUAUGACCAGCACAGAAUAAGUUUUCAUCUUAUGUUAGCUGCUAUAAGAAGUAGACCACUUCGGCCGAAAUCUUCAUCAGCACAAUUGUCGAUUUAACUAAUGUGAUCGCCGAGUUUGUCGGUAAAACUGAUGAAUCCACUGAUUUCGCCGGAGAAAGAAGUGCAGACUUGGUCGGAGAUAGAAGAUCAUCCAUCCAGUACUCCAAUGCCUCCGACAUUGUCAGAGGCAUGUAUCCCACUCAUGUUUUAUUUUUGUUUUAGAAGUUCAUCUCUGAAUUAGAAGGGCCUGAAGUAUGAUAGCUCUCUGAAUGUUUGGUGUCUUUGUUGUGCUCCCUGCGUCUAAUUCUGCUUUUGUCACUAUAACUGAUUAUUAUACACAUAGAGUACACAACACAAUACUUGAGGGCCGCAACACAUGCAUAUUUACAAUUCCCUGAUCGGGAAGCAGCUUGUGGGUCAGGCAGUAUUAGUAAGUUUGGCGUCCAAGUUUGGCUGCAGGUAGGCCAAGAUUUGUUGACAUCCGGUGCUCAGCAACCUGGGAAGGCAUUGUUCUUGUAGCCCUAUAGACUAGAUUCAUAACAGC